rnacentral:rRNA from 1 species
ACGGCCGUACCAUGCUGAAUAUACCGGUUCUCGUUAGAUCACCGAAGUCAAGCAUCAUUGGGCGCGGUCAGUACUUGGGUGGGUGACCACCUAGAAACACCGCGUGCCGUU